GUACCCAUAGCUCAGCCGGAUAGAGCAACUGCCUUCUAAGCAGUAGGUCGGGAGUUCGAAUCUCUCUGGGUACGCCA
rnacentral:tRNA from 1 species